rnacentral:rRNA from 1 species
AUGUAUAAAAAAUGUAUAAUGUGUACAAAAGAAAGUAGACAGGAAAACAUAUAUUUUGCAAUACAUCUGUGCAACUGUACUGGUGACCCAUCUCUUAUAGUCUUAUUGCUGACCAUCAUUGCACACAGCCCUGUCCAAUCGAACCUGAAUGUGUUUUAUAAGAUUGCUGCGAAGGUGUUGGCAAAUCGGCUUAAGAGUAUUCUACCGGUCAUGAUUUCUGAGGAGCAAAGCGCGUUUGUCCCGGGGAGGCUUAUCACGGACAAUGUCUUAGUGGCGUAUGAAUAUGUACAUGCAAUCAGACACCGGAAAAGGAAAAAACCUCUUUGUGUUGUAAAGUUAGACAUGAUGAAAGCUUAUGAUCGAGUGGGGUGGACCUUCUUGGAACAAGUUAUGCAGAAGUUUGGUUUUGACCAGGUUUGGGUUGACAUGAUCAUGAGGUGUGUUUGUACCGCCAGAUUUUCUGUUAAGCUCAAUGGGGGUCUCUCUGAUCUGUUUUUGCCAUCAAGAGGGCUUAGGCAGGGGGACCCUUUGUCCCCCUACCUCUUUCUUUUUUGCGUUGAAGGUUUUUCUGUACUCUUAAAGAAAGCUCAACAGGAGAGGAGGAUUAGAGAAGUGUCAUUUGGGAGCACUGGCCCCCAUGUGACUCACCUGUUAUUUGCGGAUGACAGCAUUGUUUUCUUGGAGGGAUCACAUGAUAAUUUGGAGACUCUUAGAGAUAUCCUUCAGUGCUACGAGCAAGCCUCUGGGCAAUGGGUCAACUUGCAAAAGUCAUCUAUCGUCUUUGAUAAAGGAUGUGCUGAGAAUAAUAAGGCCAUGUUGAAGGGGAUCAUUGGUAUUACAUCUGAAGCACUCAGUGAGAAGUAUUUGGGCCUACCAACUGUGGUGGGAAGAUCAAAAGAUGGUACUUUCAAGCCUGUGAGGGAGAGUGCUCGGGGCAAGGUCUUGGGAUGGAAAGGACAAGGGCUCUCGAAGGCGGCCAAAGAAGUUCUUGCGAAGUCUGGGCUGCAAGCUACUCCAACUUUCACCAUGAGUUGUUUUCAACUCUCAAAUAAAAUAUGCCAGAACCUGACUACGAUCUCUUCUAACUUCUGGUGGGGGUCAACUCAUGGUGAGAACAAGGUUCAUUGGGUGGCAUGGGAUAAGAUGUGCCUUCCAAAACGAGAUGGUGGCAUGGGCUUCAGGAAUUUUGAGGCUUUCAACCAAGCUUUGUUAGCUAAGCAAGCGUGGAGGCUUUUGCAAGAGCCUGACUCGCUCGUCGCCAGGCUUCUGCGGGCAUGGUACUAUAAGGAUUCCUCUAUCAUGCAGGCUACGUGCCCCUCGAACGGAUCAUACACCUUUCGGAGUAUCCUCUUUGGACAUGACUUGCUAAAAGAGGGGCUGGUUUGGCGUGUUGGAGAUGGGGCUGAUAUCUUAACCCACCACGAUAACUGGAUUCCUCGGAAGGGUUCCAUGCGGCCACUAGGACAAAUCUUCCUGAUGGAAUCACUAGGGUGGCAGACCUGCUCUCGGAAGGUGGUGAUGGCUGGGAUCAUGGAACUGUUGAUGCAAUGUUUUCUGCUGAUGAUGCUGAGGAUAUUAAGCAAAUUCCGGUGUGUGGGCAUGGGGCUCAUGAUCUCCUAG